ensembl:snoRNA SNORA66 Small nucleolar RNA SNORA66
AUCCAAGUGCAUUUGAUCACUUACUUCAUGACGCUGCAGAAAUGAGGGGGAUGAGCCUUGAGAAGGUCAUUGCAGUGCCAGGAAUGUACUAACCUCGGGGGCUUCUUAGGUUGCCCAUUCUAUCCUGACAUAGGU